AUUUGAUGGUGUGGACAGCUUACACACAAUUUCUUGAAGCGCUCCCGAUACUCAUACAAGGUCUCUUCAUUAUAUUGUCAAAUGUCUCAGAUUUCCUUCCUGAUAUU